CGGGUGGUAAUGCCGGAUGUUCCAGUUGAUCGCAUGGUCUUCUGGGAAAGCUUUCGCGGUAUGGGAUGGGGUCGCGUCCUAUCAGCUUGACGGCGGGGUAACGGCCCACCGUGGCUUCGACGGGUAGCCGGCCUGAGAGGGCGACCGGCCACAUUGGGACUGAGAUACGGCCCAGACUCCUACGGGAGGCAGCAGUGGGGAAUAUUGCACAAUGGGCGCAAGCCUGAUGCAGCGACGCCGCGUGAGGGAUGGAGGCCUUCGGGUUGUAAACCUCUUUUAUCGGGGAGCAAGCGUGAGUGAGUUUACCCGUUGAAUAAGCACCGGCUAACUACGUGCCAGCAGCCGCGGUAAUACGUAGGGUGCAAGCGUUAUCCGGAAUUAUUGGGCGUAAAGGGCUCGUAGGCGGUUCGUCGCGUCCGGUGUGAAAGUCCAUCGCUUAACGGUGGAUCCGCGCCGGGUACGGGCGGGCUUGAGUGCGGUAGGGGAGACUGGAAUUCCCGGUGUAACGGUGGAAUGUGUAGAUAU
rnacentral:rRNA from 2 species